AGAGACCUUCAAGGUCAUCAUUCUAGUUUUUGGUGGUGGAGGAGACGGUGGUGCAGGCGGUGUUGUUGGUGGUGGAGGAAUAAUUUUUUUUAUACCUGUGUUACUAUGAGUUGGACUUGGUGAUCCUUAGAUGUCCCUUCCAACUGUUUCUAUUCCAUGAUUCUGUGCGGUGGAGGAGGAGACAUAGAAUCCUUAUUGUUGGAAGAGACCUUCAAGGUCAUCGAUGUAGUUUUUGGUGGUGGAGGAGGCCAUGGUGGAAGAGGUGGUUGUGGAGGAAUUAUUUUUAGACGUGUGGUACCAUGAGUUUUACUUGAUGAUCCUAAUGUUUCUCAUCUAACUGUGGAUAUUCCAUGAUUCUAUGUGGUGGAGGAGGAGACAUACAAUCCUUAUUCUUGGAGGAGACCUUCAAGGUCAUCGUUCUAGUGUUUGGUGGUGGAGGAGGCGGUGGUAGAGGAUGUAGUGGUGGUGGUGAAGGAAUUAUUUUUAGACCUGUGGUACCAUGAGUUUUGCUUCAUGAUCCUUUGAUUUCUCAUCCAAUGUGGAUAUUCCAUGAUUCUAUGUGGUGGAGGAGAAGAUAUAGAAUCAUUCUUUUUUGAAGAGACCUUCAAGGUCAUCAUUGUAGUUUGUGGUGAUGGAGGAGGCGGUGGUGGAGGAGGUGAUGGUGGUGGUGGAGGAAUUACUUUUAUACCUGUGGUACCAUGAGUUUUACUUGAUGAUCCUAAUGUUUCUCAUCCAACUGUGGAUAUUCCAUGAUUCUAUGUGGUGGAGGAGUAGACAUAGAAUCAUUCUUGUUGGAAGAGACCUUCAAGGUCAUCGUUCUAGUUUUUGGUGGUGGAGGAGGCCGUGGUGGAGGAGGUGGUGGUGCAGGAUUAAGUUUUUAUACCAGUGGUACCAUGAGUUUUACUCGAUGAUCCUAAUGUUUCUCAUCCAAUUGUGGAUAUUCCAUGGUUCUAUGCGGUGGAGGAGGAGACAUAGAAUCAUUAUUGNUGUUUAUAUUCCAUGAUUCUAUGCGGUGGAGGAGGAGACAUAGAAUCAUUAUUGUUGGGAGAGACCUUCAAGGUCAUCGUUGUAGUUUUUGGUGGUGGAGGAGGCGGUGUUGGAUGAGGUGGUGGUGGUGGUGGAGGAAUUACUAUUAUACCUGUGGUACCAUGAGUUUUACUUGAUGAUCCUAAUGUUUCUCAUUCAACUUUGGAUAUUCCAUGAUUCUAUGCGGUGGAGGAGGAUACAUAGAAUCCCUAUCGCUGGAAGAGACUUAAAAGGUGAUUUUUAUAGCAGUGGUGGAGGAGGCGGUGGUGGUGGUGGUGGAAGAAUAAUUUUUUUUAUACCUGUGUUACUAUGAGUUGGACUUGGUGAUCCUUAGAAGUUUAUUCCAACUCUUUAUAUUCCAUGAUUCUAUGUGGUGGAGGAGGAGACAUAGAAUCAUUAUUGUUGGAAGAGACAUUCAAGGUCAUCGUUUUACUUUUUAGUGGUGGAGGAGGCGGUGGUGGAGGACGUGGUGGUGUAGGAAUUAUUUCUAGACCUGUGGUACCAUGAGUUUUACUUGAUGAUCCUUAGGUUUCUCAUCCAACCUGGGAUAUUCCAUGAUUCUAUGCGGUGGAGGAGGAGACAUAGAAUCAUUAUUGUUGGAGGAGACCUUCAAGGUCAUCGUUCUAGUUUUUGGUGUUGGAGGAGGCGGUGGUGGAGGAGGUAGUGGUGGUGGUGGAGGAACUAUUUUUAGACCUGUGUUACCAUGAGUUUUACUUCAUGAUCCUUUGGUUUCUCAUCCAACUGUGGAUAUUCCAUGAUUCAUUGUGGUGGAGGAGGAGACAUAGAAUCAUUAUUGUUUGGAGAGACAUUCAAGGUCAUCGUUCUAAUUUUUGGUGGUGGAGGAGGCGGUUGUGGAGGCGUUGGUGGUGGUGGUGGAGGAAUAAUUCUUUUUAUACCUGUGUUACUAUGAGUUGGACUUGGUGAUCCUUAGAUGUCCCUUCCAUCUUUUUAUAUUCCAUGAUUCUUUGCGGUGGAGGAGGAGACAUAGAAUCAUUCUUGUUGGAAGAGACAUUCAAGGUCAUCGAUGUAGUUUUUGGUGUUGGAGGAGGCCGUGGUGGAAGAGGUGGUUGUGGAGGAAUUAUUUUUAGACCUCUCGUACCAUGAGUUUUACUUGAUGAUCCUAAUGUUUCUCAUACAACUGUGGAUAUUCCAGGACUCUAUGUGGUGGAGGAGGAGACAUAGAAUUCUUAUUGUUGGAAGAGACUUAAAAGAUGAUUUUUAUAGCAGUGUUGGAGGAGGCGGUGGUGGUGGUGGUAUUGGAGGAAUAAUUUUUUUUAUACCUGUGUUACUAUGAGUUGGACUUGGUGAUCCUUAUAUGUCC
rnacentral:lncRNA from 1 species